GUGCUCGCUUCAACAGCACAUAUACUAAAAUUGGAAUGAUGCAGAGUAGAUUAGCACGGCCCCUGCACAAGGAUGACGCACAAAUUUGUGAAGCAUACCAUAUUUAA